CAGGCCUUGUUGCUUAAUCAUAGCAGUCAAAACAAGUUAACUCGACAUCCAUUGAUGGAAAAUUAUCUGGCGAGUUAAGGGCAAAUUAUAUUUUCUCUUGCAACAUAUUUUUAAGCUCACAAUCGUUACUAUUUUGAUGGAAAACAAAAUUUAGCUUCUUAGCCUAUGUCGUUAUAAAUUACUUUGAUUUCCUUCUUAAAAUGCUUGACAACCUUAUGGAAAAAGGGUUCAUGAAAUAAAUGUGGCAGCUCCUCUCUUGCUGCGAAAACAAAAUGUUGGACUAGUUUUCAGGCUUCGUGAGCGGGUUUUGAUAGAUCAUUGGGCUAGAAAUUUCAACUAGACCUGGCAACCCUAAGUAGGAGGUAUCUUUGAAAGUGAACUUAACCUAUUACAGUUUCGUCUUUGUCGGACCUAAAUCUUUCUACGGCCUUGUCUCUAGUCUAGACAAAUAUGUAGAAUUUGAACUGUGACAUUUCAGUUAUUAUUUUUGUCCCUAGUGUUGUGUAUUUUGAAUUAAUAAAUAUGAUGUUUUAGUCAAUUGAAUCGGCUUAAGUGAGACAAAAAGUGCAUUUAGUAGCAGAGUGGUUUCCAAACAAGCUCACCUGAAACAGAAAACGUCGGUAUUUCUGAAUUUCUUCAUGGUAAGAGAGGCCUACUCGCAAGUGGCAACAAGUCUGUCAUUUACAUGCAUUUCAUCUAUCGUCAAUAUUUAACCUUCAUCCACAGGUGUGUGUUUAUUUUUUAUUACAUCCACAGGUGUGUGCUGUCUGGCACUGGUCAAGUAGCCAUUGACUUCAGACUUUGAACUGUGACCCUGAACCUGUACCCCUGAGGUUCUCCAGGAUGGCAGGGUGAGGGGCUGACAUGAUGGAGGGGACACAAUAUCAGAUGUCAGUUUUCCAUUUGGAGAGGGGGUGUCUGGCUGAGGAAGAAAUAGUAUCUCUGUGUCUGAUGAGGGAGAGGAGGCUUUCUAUGUGCCUGAAAGGAGACCCUCCCUGGGCCUGGGCAAUGGCCUGAGACCCAUGUACACGGCGCAUGUCACGUGUCAACAGUAAUGUUUCCUGUUUGUCCAAGUCUUGAUCCUUUCACCAUCCAUCCUCAAUCAUUGAUAUUUGGUGUGUGUUUAGUAGGCAUGAUGUGAAAAGGGCUCGAUCAUUGUCCAUGUGAUGUUCUAUGUACAGAGUCCAGCAGCAAAGAACAGAGUCUUACUCCAGCUGCUACUCUGUGGACAGUGAUGACUGUGAGAUCAGAACCAGGAAGUCUCAAAGUUUCCUGCAGUGGAACUUCCUCCAAGACCAGAGCUGAUCAAAAACCCAGAUGAGAAGAGGCACCCUGCCCUGACUGUAGACUUCACCUUCAAGGCCAUCAGGAAGACAGUGGAGAAGCUGGGGAAGGAUGAUCUGAGGAAGUUUAAGAUCACGCUGUGGAAGCGUUACCCAGAGUCGUUCAGUGCUCCUCCCCAGGGCAUGGACAUGGUGACUUGGUGGACAGGCUGCUGGAGUGUUAUGACCUAGAGGUGGUCCUGCAGCUCACCAAGGCCCUGUCGAAGGACAUGGGCCUCAAGCGCCUGACUGACUUCCUCAGGGACAUUUGCAAAAYAAGUAUGCACAUCAUCUUUAUUUCAUUUGAUGAAUGUAAUAUACACUGAGCAAAAAUAUCAACGCAACAUGUAAAGUGUUGGUGUUAUGUUUCAUAAGCUGAAAUAAAAGA